rnacentral:rRNA from 1 species
CUCAAGAUGAGAUUUCCCAAUUAGUAAGACCCCUUGAAGACGACGAGGUAGAUAGGUUGGAGGUGGAAGUGCAGCAAUGCAUGGAGCUGACCAAUACUAAUCGGUCGAGGGCUUAUCCUACAA